rnacentral:rRNA from 1 species
GGCUUUCGGGUCGUAAAACUCUUUUGUUAGGGAAGAACAAGUGCUAGUUGAAUAAGCUGGCACCUUGACGGUACCUAACCAGAAAGCCACGGCUAACUACGUGCCACCACCCGCGGUAAUACGUAGGUGGCAAGCGUUAUCCGGAAUUAUUGGGCGUAAAGCGCGCGCAGGUGGUUUCUUAAGUCUGAUGUGAAAGCCCACGGCUCAACCGUGGAGGGUCAUUGGAAACUGGGAGACUUGAGUGCAGAAAAGGAAAGUGGAAUUCCAUGUGUAGCGGUGAAAUGCGUAUAGAUCUGAAGGAACACCACUGGCGAACGCGACUUUCUGGUCUGUAACUGACACUGACGCGCGAAAGCGUGAGGAGCAAACAGGAUUAAAUACCCUGGUAGUCCACGCCGUAAACGAUGACUGCUAAAUGUUAGAGGGUUUCCGCCCUUUAGUGCUGAAGUUAACGCAUUAAUCACUCCGCCUGGGGAGU